rnacentral:rRNA from 1 species
GACGAACGCUGGCGGCGUGCUUAACACAUGCAAGUCGAACGGAAAGACCCUGCUUUUGUGGGGUGCUCGAGUGGCGAACGGGUGAGUAACACGUGAGUAACCUGCCCUUGACUUUGGGAUAACUUCAGGAAACUGGGGCUAAUACCGGAUAGGAGCUCCUGCUGCAUGGUGGGGGUUGGAAAGUUUCGGCGGUUGGGGAUGGACUCGCGGCUUAUCAGCUUGUUGGUGGGGUAGUGGCUUACCAAGGCUUUGACGGGUAGCCGGCCUGGGAGGGUGACCGGGCACCUGGGGCCUGAGAGACGGCCCAGAAUCCUACGGGAGGCAGCAGUGGGGAAUAUUGCGCAAUGGCGGGAAGCCUGAUGCAGCAACGCCGCGUGCGGGAUGCCGGCCUUCGGGUUGUAAACCGAUUUCGCAUGUGACGAAGCGUGAGUGACGGUAAUGGGUAAAGAAGCACCGGCUAACUACGUG